rnacentral:tRNA from 1 species
GCCCGGAUAGCUCAGUCGGUAGAGCAUCAGACUUUUAAUCUGAGGGUCCAGGGUUCGAGUCCUUUUUCGGGCG